AGGAUUAACGCUGGCGGCGUGCCUAACACAUGCAAGUCGAACGAGGGGGGCAACCCCCGAGUGGCAGACGGGUGAGUAACGCGUGGUCAACCUACCCUAGAGUGGGGAAUAACUAGCCGAAAGGUUAGCUAAUACCGCAUGAUACGUUUUGGGACAUCCCAGGACGUUGAAAGGAGCAAUCCGCUCGAGGACGGGACCGCGUCCGAUUAGCUAGUUGGUGAGGUAACGGCCCACCAAGGCUCCGAUCGGUAGCUGGUUUGAGAGAGCGACCAGCCACACUGGGACUGAGAAACGGCCCAGACUCCUACGGGAGGCAGCAGUGAGGAAUUUUCCGCAAUGGGCGAAAGCCUGACGGAGCGACGCCGCGUGUGGGAAGAAGGCCUUCGGGUCGUAAACCACUGUCGAAGGGGACUAUACUGAAGGUACCCUUGGAGGAAGCCCGGCUAACUACGCGCCAGCAGCCGC
rnacentral:rRNA from 1 species